GGACCCGCACAAGCGGUGGAGCAUGUGGUUUAAUUCGAAGAUACACGAAGAACCUUACCUGGCCUUGAUAUCCUAAGAAUCCUGUAGAGAUAUGGGAGUGCUAGUUUACUAGAACUUAGAGACAGGUGCUGCACGGCUGUCGUCAGCUCGUGUCGUGAGAUGUUGGGUUAAGUCCCGCAACGAGCGCAACCCUCGUGAUUAGUUGCUAACAGUUUGGCUGAGCACUCUAAUCAGACUGCCUUCGCAAGGAGGAGGAAGGUGAGGACGACGUCAAGUCAUCAUGGCCCUUAUGGCCAGGGCUACACACGUGCUACAAUGGUUAGGACAAAGAGAAGCGAUACCGCGAGGUGGAGCAAAUCUUAAAACCUAGUCUCAGUUCGGAUUGAAGUCUGCAACUCGACUUCAUGAAGCUGGAAUCGCUAGUAAUCGUAGAUCAGAUAUGCUACGGUGAAUACGUUCCCGGGUCUU
rnacentral:rRNA from 1 species